AUUGAACGCUGGCGGCAUGCCUUACACAUGCAAGUCGAACGGUAACAGGUCUUCGGAUGCUGACGAGUGGCGAACGGGUGAGUAAUACAUCGGAACGUGCCUAGUAGUGGGGGAUAACUACUCGAAAGAGUGGCUAAUACCGCAUGAGAUCUACGGAUGAAAGCAGGGGAUCGCAAGACCUUGUGCUACUAGAGCGGCCGAUGGCAGAUUAGGUAGUUGGUGGGAUAAAAGCUUACCAACCGACGAUCUGUAGCUGGUCUGAGAGGACGAUCAGCCACACUGGGACUGAGACACGGCCCAGACUCCUACGGGAGGCAGCAGUGGGGAAUUUUGGACAAUGGGCGAAAGCCUGAUCCAGCAAUGCCGCGUGCAGGAUGAAGGCUUUCGGGUUGUAAACUGCUUUUGUACGGAACGAAAAGCCCCGGGUUAAUACCCUGGGGUCAUGACGGUACCGUAAGAAUAAGCACCGGCUAACUACGUGCCAGCCGCCGCUGUAA
rnacentral:rRNA from 1 species